ACGAACGCUGGCGGCGUGCUUAACCCAUGCAAGUCGAACGGAAAGGCCCUGCUUUUGUGGGGUGCUCGAGUGGCGAACGGGUGAGUAACACGUGAGUAACCUGCCCUUGACUUUGGGAUAACUUCAGGAAACUGGGGCUAAUACCGGAUAGGAGCUCCUGCUGCAUGGUGGGGGUUGGAAAGUUUCGGCGGUUGGGGAUGGACUCGCGGCUUAUCAGCUUGUUGGUGGGGUAGUGGCUUACCAAGGCUUUGACGGGUAGCCGGCCUGAGAGGGUGACCGGCCACAUUGGGACUGAGAUACGGCCCAGACUCUUACGGGAGGCAGCAGUGGGGAAUAUUGCACAAUGGGCGGAAGCCUGAUGCAGCAACGCCGCGUGCGGGAUGACGGCCUUCGGGUUGUAAACCGCUUUCGCCUGUGACGAAGCGUGAGUGACGGUAAUGGGUAAAGAAGCACCGGCUAACUACGUG
rnacentral:rRNA from 1 species